UUCUCGUGCUGAUUGCAUUGCUUUUAUAUGGCCCAAAGUCACCCCCAAAACGAAGUAUUCGUACUACUCUCUCUCUCUCUUCUUGGCGUAACGUCCUCAUUGGGACAAAGCCUGCUUCUCAGCUUAGUGUUCUAUGAGCACUUCCACAGUUAUUAACUGAGAGCUUCCUCUGCCAAUGACCAUUUCGCAUGUGUAUAUCGUGUGGCAGGCACGAAGAUACUCUAUGCCCAAGGAAGUCAAGGAAAUUUCCUUUACGAAAAGAUCCUGGACCGACCGGGAAUCGAACCCGUCACCCUCAGCAUGGUCAUGCUGAAUACCCGUGCCGCAGACAGACGUUCUAGCUCGAACAAAUUUAUUCAAAUUUUCUAUGUAAAUUUUCACUAGCGACACCUAGGCAACCGAUUGCCACAGUGCAGUCGCGUGCAGUUGACAGUUUCAGAAACCACGUGCUUCCAGCCGCUCACUUACCACCCAAUUCACCACCCUCCGAAAAAUAAAAUCAAAACAAACACUGUCAAAAUCAUUCCUACAUUUGCGUCACAUUCACAAAGAUUUCCCAAUGCGAGUGAAGUUCAUCCAAAUGCAGUUUUAUUCAAGCAAAUCUAUGUAAAAUAAAAGUAAUAAUGUGUAAAAUAUUUUACAAGAGUCCUGCGCCAAUUUGUGCAAAAGAUUUAAGACAUUAAAUAAAAGUCAUUUACUCUGCACAAAUUAUGUGGAAACAUUAUUAGCGUGCAACACGUGCGGUCUUUUCCCGCCAUCCGGCUGGAAGACGACCGUGGUGACAGUUGUUGGUCGCAGCGCACAUGUGAGGCAGCGAUUGAAUAUGAACGUCGCUAACGCCAUCUGUUCGCUGAUUGCCACUUGGCAAUUUGUGGCGGCCAUGUUUUUUACACAAGCUGCUGAGUCAAAUUUGAACGUCUGUCUGCGAUAAUAGUUAUACGGCAUCCUCAAAUUAAUCGAUUAAAUAUAAUUAGGUUAUGGAUACCGUGACGCAAUACAUGUGAAACUGGAAUUAUCGCUUUUAAAAUUAAAUAAUUAAAGUACUUGCCGCUACUUGGAAUCGAACUUCCGAUCUUCGUAUCCACUGUCCCGAUGAUGUCCUGGCUGCCACACUGCUGUAUAUAAAUAACAUAAAACAGCCCGUUUUGUUUUACUCCAGGCAAGGCUUUAUAACUGUGCCACAAAAAACCUAACCCAACUUCAUUUUGCUGCAAAAGCUUGUGAAACGUCAAACGCAAUAAUGUUUACAUUGAACAAGCUGUGUGGUUGCCCGAACAGGUUCUUCGUCACAGCUUCUAGCUGAAAGAGUGUUCUUUAAACAGCUAUGAAGCGCUGCUGUUGUAUGUAUUUGACAACACUACAAACACUACGUACUCUAUAAAAGCAGCUGUUUUAUUGGUUGGGACUCUUAUUCGAUUUGCACAUCUUCCGGCAAAUCUUCCGGAGUUGGAUUAAAGUGCAAUAAAAGCAACCCAAACAAUUUCACAGCACAAUUUUCUCAUCAAAGUCGUCAAAGAACCACUUUUAGAGCUUCCAAAAACGCACAUUUUCGUACGCAGAGAAUGUUGCUACGUCAUUCCGUUCAAAAGAUAUUGAUGAUUUUCUAGAAAAUAUAGGCACUUUUCCAGUAUUUUUUACUUGAGUUACAAAAAUAACACCUCUCUAAUUUUUUGAUAUGUUUUAUAACAAUAUUUCUUCUUUUGAAUGCUGGAAAAAGAUAUUUUUUAUCUUUGCCCCAACCCUUAAUAUCGCUUUUUGAAUAAAUUAUUAUUUUUGAAGAAAAACGCUCAUAACUUUUGAACCAAAAAUGAUAACGAUCGUCUCAGCGUACGAAACGACGCGUUUUCAAAUGCUCUACAAAUGUUUCUUGGGCGACUUUGAUGAGAAAUUGAAACUGAAAAAGUUAAAGCCAGAAAACCUGUUUUUCCUGAAUCACCCUAAGCUAAUUCAGAAAUAUAUCUCUAGAUCGGUCAAUUUUAAAGCUACAAAAAAACUGUCCUCGGCAAACUUGCUCAAAAUUGAUAGGUCUCCAACUUUGCCGAAGAAUGUGUAUGGUUAUUCUUGCAAAUAAAAAAGUUUGGUUUCCAAUUUCUGUGAAAAUAUAGACCACCCUAAUUUUCAUGUAUAUUGGAAAAUGGGUCAUAUUAUUAGCAACAACUUUGUAUUUGUCUAAAAAAUCAUUUGAAGGCGCUACAUGCAUCUUUCCUCGUAAAUCUGGUUCGUGGACCAUACUGGGCCUACCCAACUAACAUUUUCAGCGCUAUAAGCUUCAGUCAUUUGCUUUCUGUUGUGUAAUCAUCGAGUAAAAGCAGUCAACGCUGAAUAAAAGGAAAGCUAGUCAAAUAUAAAUCAUAAGCUAAUACACGACUGCAAAACAAGCACCAUACAGCUACCAAACUCGGUUUUCAGAAAUCCAUUGCUUGUCACUGGGGCUGCCUUUACUCCACCCUAUUCCAACUCCGGGAGAUUUUCCGGACGAUGUGAACACUUGAAAACAUCGAAUAGGAGUCCCCACUAACAAAACAGCUGCUACUAUACAGUACAAUUCAUUAUACUGACAAAUCCCCAAACCAGCAGCGCUUUAAAGGCAGUUAUGCGAUUUAAUUACGGCUAGAAGCUGUAAUAAAGAAACUGUUGGUUUACCAACACGGCUUGUCGGAUGUAAACAUUAUUGUCAAAACAAACUUCAAGCGGGAUAUAUAGCUACUACACAAAUUCUUUACAGCUAUCCAUGUAUGUGCUGUGAAAUUAUUUGGGUUGCUUUUAUUGCACUUUAAUUCAAUGCCGGAAGAUUUGCCGGAAGACGUGCAAAUCGAGUAAGAGUCCCAGCCACUACAACAGCUGCUUUUAUACAGUACGUUUUGUAAUGUUGCCAAAAAACAAAACAACAGCGCUUCGUAGCCGUUUAAAGAACACUCUUUCAGCUAGAAGCUGUGAAGAAGAAUCUGUUGGCGCAACCACACAGCUUGUUCAAUGUAAACAUUAUUGCGUUUGACGUUUCACAAGCUUUUACAGCAAGAUGAAGUUGGGUAAGGUUUCUUGUGGCACAAUUAUGAAGCCUUGUCUAGAGUAAAACAAAACGGGCUAUUUUCUAUGUUAUUUAUAUAUAGCAGUGUGGCAGCGAGGACAUCAUCGGGACCAGUGGAUACGGAGAUCGGGAGUUGGAUUCCAAGUAGCGGCAAGUACUUUCAUUAUUCAAUUUUAAAAGUGAUAAUUCCAGUUCCACAUGUAUUGCGUCACGGUAUCCAUAACCUAAUUAUAUUUAAUCGUUCAAUUUGGGGAUGCCGUAAAACUAUUAUUUAACAACUGCGAAAAGGCUGAAAAAGCGCCUUCUCAAGAUGUUAUUCAGUUAGUGGUUACAUAGGAGCCGAGAAAAGAGCUAUGACUAGGUGGCAUAGAAGCUGAUCGCACAGCAUGUACAAGCUGAUUAAGUUCGCCAGAUUCAUUGGUAUAGGGCUUACAUAGAAGCUUCCGUCCAUAUGUACAACACAGUAACUCAGCAUCAAGCCGUAUUAAGGACGCUUUGUUGACGUUUACAUCCACUGUUCGGAUUAGUGGAAAUCAGUUCCUGUAGCAAUCUAGGUGUAGACAGCUCAAACUGCAAAUGAUCUUUAAUUAGCAUACAUAAUUUCCCCAUACAAUCGCAUACUUACAAAAUACUGAUACCUAUUUCGCCAAUCCGAACGUACCCAAUAGCCAACCAACAAAUUGCUCCUUGAUCCUACUAAAUUAAGCAUUGACAUUCAGUAUUCGACACAAUUCAAUCUCAUUCGUAACUUACUAAUUAUGAGCAACCGCGUAAUCGUGUGUUACUCAACAAGGACCUCUUAUCACACCUCAGCGAUGUAAGCUACUAAAACAUGCAUACAGGUAAGUAUUUAACUAUUUAAGCAACCAGUCCAUUUACCCUUUUCUUCUCAGCAAUCUAAUAAUCCAAUCUACACAAUACCCGCAUAGAAAAAUACAGUUAGUGUUAACAUCCAAACAGUACAUGUCUCCUUACAGUUAAUGUUACUUUGUCACAAAUGGUUGUUAUUGUGUUGAAAAAUAUGAAUCCCGAAGCUUUCGACAAUAAAGAACACUAAUAUUAAUCCAUGUCUAAUUUUAACAAUUUGUCAAAGUGUCCACACAUUGUUCAACAAUUUGUUGGUGCAUUUUUGUCAUAAAUUGUAGAAAUAUUAAGUCAACGUCUGUCAAAUGGUUCGCUUUUCCAUUUGCACGGCACACAUACAUAUAUACAUUUCAUCAUAAGAUACUCACUUUUAACAAUUUGGCAAAUGGCUGCAUGCGUUAAUAGUAGUGAGCUUUGUGUAUUGAAUAAAUUUUGUGUGUUGGCAAAUUUUCAUCGUGCAGCCGCUGUUGUUCAUUAUCAAAAUUAGCAAUAAACCAGGAAAUCUAGAGAACUCCCGCCUUUUCGCACAGGAUGUCUUGAACAUCCAGCGACCGGAAAAGGUAAGUUAUCCGAAUCUUAUACUAUACCGAGUGCUACUGCCGUAGGAACUUCACAAAUCUUUGCGUAACCAACCGUUCUGCUUGAAUUUAUUCCAGAUGAAAACCACAACCUACUCCCAGUCAAGCCCAAGCUAUCCAUCAUGGAUUCGGCAGUGCUGUUAUCUCCAGAUUUGUCCUUGGGUGUUUGUACGGAACAACGGGAGGCUCAAACAAACAUCGGAAGGCGUACAGAUCAUGAUGCCGCUGGAAGAAAGCAGUAAUCGGAAGGCGGAGGAACAUGUUUGAAAUAUGUCAUUGAAGCUCAAUCAUUGAACCGAUGGAUCAACUCAUCGCAAUUACAACGUUAUAAGAUCCUGCAAUUAAUUUCGAACUAGAUGUCCCCCGGCAGGGCUCUUCUACUACCAGGGCUAUACUAUCCUGCUUGACGAGAGUUACUAGUGAUUUUCAAUCUAACGUUUUUUUUUGGAUUGAAGAAGUGAGAAUGGUCUAGUGAGCAUGUUACAAUACAAGACUAAAGAUCGCAUCAGAUUUUUGUAAACUAUCGCACUUCUGUUGAUUCAGGAAUACACCCUCGAAACUCUUCACAACAAAUAUAAACCGAGCAAAAAUCGCAAUUUCCUGGCUAGAUACAAUGGUGUGCGCGGGUAGAUUGAACUGCAUGAACUCGGCCUAAGUUAGUGUUCAGUUUCAUUAUACAUACCUAAGUGUUGAAUGAUUUUAAAUAGAAAAAAAAAUGCGCGGUGUAAAACAAACAGUUACGUAAAAUUUAUGAUUUAACUUGACCAACAUUUUUGUAAAUCUCGUUUUAAAUACCAGUUUUUUUAUACAAAUAUACGCUUUUUCAUUAUUCAUUU